UAGGAUGAACGCUAGCUACAGGCUUAACACAUGCAAGUCGAGGGGCAGCAUGGUCUUAGCUUGCUAAGGCCGAUGGCGACCGGCGCACGGGUGAGUAACACGUAUCCAACCUGCCGUCUACUCUUGGACAGCCUUCUGAAAGGAAGAUUAAUACAAGAUGGCAUCAUGAGUCCGCAUGUUCACAUGAUUAAAGGUAUUCCGGUAGACGAUGGGGAUGCGUUCCAUUAGAUAGUAGGCGGGGUAACGGCCCACCUAGUCUUCGAUGGAUAGGGGUUCUGAGAGGAAGGUCCCCCACAUUGGAACUGAGACACGGUCCAAACUCCUACGGGAGGCAGCAGUGAGGAAUAUUGGUCAAUGGGCGAGAGCCUGAACCAGCCAAGUAGCGUGAAGGAUGACUGCCCUAUGGGUUGUAAACUUCUUUUAUAAAGGAAUAAAGUCGGGUAUGGAUACCCGUUUGCAUGUACUUUAUGAAUAAGGAUCGGCUAACUCCGUGCCAGCAGCCGCGGUAAUACGGAGGAUCCGAGCGUUAUCCGGAUUUAUUGGGUUUAAAGGGAGCGUAGAUGGAUGUUUAAGUCAGUUGUGAAAGUUUGCGGCUCAACCGUAAAAUUGCAGUUGAUACUGGAUAUCUUGAGUGCAGUUGAGGCAGGCGGAAUUCGUGGUGUAGCGGUGAAAUGCUUAGAUAUCACGAAGAACUCCCGAUUGCGAAGGCAGCCUGCUAAGCUGCAACUGACAUUGAGGCUCGAAAAGUGUGGGUAUCAAACAGGAUUAGAUACCCUGGUAGUCCACACGGUAAACGAUGAAUACUCGCUGUUUGCGAUAUACAGCAAGCGGCCAAGCGAAAGCGUUAAGUAUUCCACCUGGGGAGUACGCCGGCAACGGUGAAACUCAAAGGAAUUGACGGGGGCCCGCACAAGCGGAGGAACAUGUGGUUUAAUUCGAUGAUACGCGAGGAACCUUACCCGGGCUUAAAUUGCAGAUGAAUUACGGUGAAAGCCGUAAGCCGCAAGGCAUCUGUGAAGGUGCUGCAUGGUUGUCGUCAGCUCGUGCCGUGAGGUGUCGGCUUAAGUGCCAUAACGAGCGCAACCCUUGUUGUCAGUUACUAACAGGUUCCGCUGAGGACUCUGACAAGACUGCCAUCGUAAGAUGUGAGGAAGGUGGGGAUGGCGUCAAAUCAGCACGGCCCUUACGUCCGGGGCUACACACGUGUUACAAUGGGGGGUACAGAGGGCCGCUACCACGCGAGUGGAUGCCAAUCCCAAAAACCUCUCUCAGUUCGGACUGGAGUCUGCAACCCGACUCCACGAAGCUGGAUUCGCUAGUAAUCGCGCAUCAGCCACGGCGCGGUGAAUACGUUCCCGGGCCUUGUACACACCGCCCGUCAAGCCAUGGGAGCCGGGGGUACCUGAAGUGCGUAACCGCGAGGAGCGCCCUAGGGUAAAAC
rnacentral:rRNA from 1 species